rnacentral:ncRNA from 1 species
AUCAAUUUAAAUAAUAUUACUCGUAUAUUCUCGGAAAUAUGGUCUGAGCGUCUCUACCCGGUUCCCAUGGAAAGAACUGGACUACGAGUUAAAGUAUAUGCUUG